rnacentral:rRNA from 1 species
CCUACGUGAGACAGCAGUGAGGAAUAUUGGUCAAUGGGCGCGAGCCUGAACCAGCCAAGUAGCGUGAAGGAUGACUGCCCUACGGGUUGUAAACUUCUUUUAUAAAGGAAUAAAGUGAGGCACGUGUGCCUUUUUGUAUGUACUUUAUGAAUAAGGAUCGGCUAACUCCGUGCCAGCAGCCGCGGUAAUACGGAGGAUCCGAGCGUUAUCCGGAUUUAUUGGGUUUAAAGGGAGCGUAGAUGGGUUGUUAAGUCAGUGGUGAAAGUUUGCGGCUCAACCGUAAAAUUGCAAUUGAUACUGGCAGUCUUGAGUACAGUUGAGGUAGGCGGAAUUCGUGGUGUAGCGGUGAAAUGCUUAGAUAUCACGAAGAACUCCGAUUGCGAAGGCAGCUUACUAAACUGCCACUGACAUUGAUGCUCGAAAGUGUGGGUAUCAAACAGGAUUAGAUACCCCUGUAGUC